rnacentral:rRNA from 1 species
GACGAACGCUGGCGGCGUGCUUAACACAUGCAAGUCGAACGGAGAGGCCCUGCUUUUGUGGGGUGCUCGAGUGGCGAACGGGUGAGUAACACGUGAGUAACCUGCCCUUGACUUUGGGAUAACUUCAGGAAACUGGGGCUAAUACCGGAUAGGAGCUCCUGCUGCAUGGUGGGGGUUGGAAAGUUUCGGCGGUUGGGGAUGGACUCGCGGCUUAUCAGCUUGUUGGUGGGGUAGUGGCUUACCAAGGCUUUGACGGGUAGCCGGCCUGAGAGGGUGACCGGCCACAUUGGGACUGAGAUACGGCCCAGACUCCUACGGGAGGCAGCAGUGGGGAAUAUUGCACAAUGGGCGGAAGCCUGAUGCAGCAACGCCGCGUGCGGGACGACGGCCUUCGGGUUGUAAACCGCUUUCGCCUGUGACGAAGCGUGAGUGACGGUAAUGGGUAAAGAAGCACCGGCUAACUACGUG